rnacentral:rRNA from 1 species
GAAUCUUUGAACGCACCUUGCACCCUUUGGUAUUCCGAAGGGUACACCCGUUUGAGUGUCAUUGUAAUCUCACUUCUACAACUUUUUUGUUGUAAAAUGUGGACUUGGACGUCUGCCGUGUUUCAACGGCUCGUCUUAAAUGCCUGAGUGUACCCCGCUUUGCGGCGUAUUCGGUGUGAUAAACAUUUCACCGGAGUUUGGUCUUUUGACCGCGCUUUUGCAAUCGGUGGGCUCUAUGCUUUCCAACCGUCCCUUGUGGACAAUCUUUGACAAUUUGACCUCAAAUCGGGUGGGACUACCCGCUGAACUUAAGCAUAUCAAUAAGCGGAGGAAAAGAAACUAACAAGGAUUCCCCUAGUAACGGCGAGUGAAGAGGGAAAAGCUCAAAUUUUGAAUCUGGUGUCUUUGACUCCCGAGUUGUAAUCUAGAGAAGUGUUUUCCGUGUCGGACCGCGUAUAAGUUCCCUGGAACGGGGCGUCAUAGAGGGUGAGAAUCCCGUAUAUGCCGCGGACUACCGAUGCUCUGUGAUACACUCUCAACGAGUCGAGUUGUUUGGGAAUGCAGCUCAAAAUGGGUGGUAAAUUCCAUCUAAAGCUAAAUAUUGGCGAGAGACCGAUAGCGAACAAGUACCGUGAGGGAAAGAUGAAAAGCACUUUGGAAAGAGAGUGAAACAGUACGUGAAAUUGUUGAAAGGGAAGCGUUUGAAGUCAGUCACGUUUGUUGGGAUUCAGCCUGGCUUCUGUCUGGUGUAUUUCCUAGCCGACGGGUCAGCAUCAGUUUUGACCAAGGGAAAAAGACAUUUGGAAUGUGGCUGUCUUCGGGCAGUGUUAUAGCCUUGUGUUGUAUGCCUUGGUUGGGACUGAGGAAUGCAGCGCGCCUUAUGGCCGGGGGUCGCUCCUCUCGACACGCGCUUARGAUGCUGGCAUAAUGGCUUUAAGCGACCCGUCUUGAAACACGGACCAAGGAGUCUAACAUGUGCGCGAGUGUUUGGGUGU